GCUCUGGUAGCUCGGUUGGGAGAGCGUUGGGGCGGUACCCCACGAUCCAGGGUUCAAGUCCCGGUCAAAGCA